rnacentral:rRNA from 1 species
GACGAACGCGGGCGGCGUGCCUAAUACAUGCAAGUAGAACGCUGAAGAGAGGAGCUUGCUCCUCUGGAUGAGUUGCAAACGGGUGAGUAACGCGUAGGUAACCUGCCUUGUAGCGGGGGAUAACUAUUGGAAACGAUAGCUAAUACCGCAUAACAAUGGAUGACACAUGUCAUUUAUUUGAAAGGGGCAAUUGCUCCACUACAAGAUGGACCUGCGUUGUAUUAGCUAGUAGGUGAGGUAACGGCUCACCUAGGCGACGAUACAUAGCCGACCUGAGAGGGUGAUCGGCCACACUGGGACUGAGACACGGCCCAGACUCCUACGGGAGGCAGCAGUAGGGAAUCUUCGGCAAUGGGGGCAACCCUGACCGAGCAACGCCGCGUGAGUGAAGAAGGUUUUCGGAUCGUAAAGCUCUGUUGUAAGUCAAGAACGAGUGUGAGAGUGGAAAGUUCACACUGUGACGGUAGCUUACCAGAAAGGGACGGCUAACUACGUGCCAGCAGCCGCGGUAAUACGUAGGUCCCGAGCGUUGUCCGGAUUUAUUGGGCGUAAAGCGAGCGCAGGCGGUUUGAUAAGUCUGAAGUUAAAGGCUGUGGCUCAACCAUAGUUCGCUUUGGAAACUGUCAAACUUGAGUGCAGAAGGGGAGAGUGGAAUUCCAUGUGUAGCGGUGAAAUGCGUAGAUAUAUGGAGGAACACCGGUGGCGAAAGCGGCUCUCUGGUCUGUAACUGACGCUGAGGCUCGAAAGCGUGGGGAGCGAACAGG